UCCGUAGCAGCAGAGCAAAAGCGUGGGUGUGACAAAUGCAACCUGCUACCAGAACAUAAUGUAUCAUUAUUAUGUGUAUUUUCCUGUAUAGGCACAAGAAUGGUGACAAGUACAUUGGAGUUUAAUUAAACGGCUGCAUUUUGGCCUUUACUGUGAAGUGGCAGGCUGACUGAAAUGGACAUUAAACGACCAGGCGUUCUCUCCUUAUGGCCAGAAAGUAUUAUGUUAUUAAAUAUGAGACUUUCUCUGAUACGAGACGGUGCUUUUAACAGACAAUUUACACCGUCAGCAAUUCCUGUAGCAUCACCGUCCUGAAGUGCAGCAAAAAGAUAGCCACUUACGGCUUUGCCAGAGUUUGCGCCACAUCUGAGGACGCCGGUGGAAGGCGAAGCUCCGUCUGUGUGUGUGUGUUUUCCGGCACAGCCUCCACUGUCCAAAGUACUGCUGCUGAAGAGACUGUCUGUGCCUCGUAAGUUUGAGGAUAACUGCAAAGUGAUCGGAAUCUCAACAGCCAAUAAAUGUACAAACCUAA